CCCUUAGAUGUUCUGGGCCGCACGCGCGCUACACUGAUGCAUUCAACGAGUCUAAAACCUGCUCUGAUAGGGGUGGGUAAUCUUUUGAAUGUGCAUCGUGAUUGGGAUAGAUGAUUGCAAUUCUUCAUCUUCAACGAGGAAUGCCUAGUAAACGCAAGUCAUCAGCUUGCAUUGAUUACGUCCCUGCCCUUUGUACGCACCGCCCGUCGCUCCUACCGAUUGAAUGUUCCGAUGAAUACCAUGGACUGAGAGUAUGAAUGGGUUCGCCUAUUUCUGCUUCUCGGGAAGUGGAGUAAAUCUUAACAUUUAGAGGAAGGAGAAGUCGUAACA
rnacentral:rRNA from 1 species